CAACAGCGUAUAUUAAAGUUGUUGCGGCUAAAAACUCGUAGUUGGAUUUCUGCUGGGGACGACCGGUCCGCCGUCCGGGUGAGCAUCUGGUUCGGCCUCGGCAUCUCCUUGGUGAACGUAUCUGCACUUGACUGUGUGGUGCGGUACCCAUGACUCUUACUCUGAAGAACUUAGAGUGUGUCAAGCAGGCAUACGCCUUGAAUACAUUAGCAUGGAAUAAUGAGAUAGGACCUCGAUUCUAUUUUGUUGCUUCCUAAAGCUGCGGUAAUGAUUAAUAGGGAUCGUUGGGGGGCGAUUCGUAUUUAAGUUGUCAGAGGUGGAAAUUACUUUGGAGUUUGUCUAAAGAACGGAGUUACUUGCGAAAGACCUUUCGUCCAACGGAAGUGUUUUUCUAUUGUAUCAAGGGACGGAACGUACAGGGGAGUCGAAGAACGAUCAGAUACCGU
rnacentral:rRNA from 1 species